rnacentral:rRNA from 1 species
GACGAACGCUGGCGGCGUGCUUAACACAUGCAAGUCGAACGGAAAGGCCCUGCUUUUGUGGGGUGCUCGAGUGGCGAACGGGUGAGUAACACGUGAGUAACCUGCCCUUGACUUUGGGAUAACUUCAGGAAACUGGGGCUAAUACCUGAUAGGAGCUCCUGCUGCAUGGUGGGGGUUGGAAAGUUUCGGCGGUUGGGGAUGGACUCGCGGCUCAUCAGCUUGUUGGUGGGGUAGUGGCAUACCAAGGCGUUGACGGGUAGCCGGCCUGAGAGGGUGAACGGCCACAUUGGGACUGAGAUACGGCCCAGACUGCUACGGGAGGCAGUAGUGGGGAAUAUUGCACAAUGGGCGGAAGCCUGAGGCAGCAACGCCGCGUGCGGGAUGACGGCCUUCGGGUUGUAAACCGCUUUCGCCUGUGACGAAGCGUGAGUGACGGUAAUGGGUAAAGAAGCACCGGCUAACUACGUG